rnacentral:rRNA from 1 species
AGUGAACGCUGGCGGUAGGCCUAACACAUGCAAGUCGAACGGCAGCACAGGAGAGCUUGCUCUCUAGGUGGCGAGUGGCGGACGGGUGAGGAAUACAUCGGAAUCUGCCCAGUCGUGGGGGAUAACUUAGGGAAACUUACGCUAAUACCGCAUACGACCUUCGGGUGAAAGAGGGGGAUCGCAAGACCUCUCGCGAUUGGAUGAGCCGAUGUCGGAUUAGCUAGUUAGCGGGGUAAUGGCCCACCAAGGCGACGAUCCGUAGCUGGUCUGAGAGGAUGAUCAGCCACACUGGAACUGAGACACGGUCCAGACUCCUACGGGAGGCAGCAGUGGGGAAUAUUGGACAAUGGGCGCAAGCCUGAUCCAGCCAUACCGCGUGGGUGAAGAAGGCCUUCGGGUUGUAAAGCCCUUUUGUUGGGAAAGAAAUCUUUCAGGCUAAUACCCUGGGAGGAUGACGGUACCCAAAGAAUAAGCACCGGCUAACUUCGUG